rnacentral:rRNA from 1 species
CCUACGGGUGACAGCAGUGGGGGAUAUUGGACAAUGUGGGGAACCCUGAUCCAGCGACGCAGCGUGAGUGAAGAAGUAUUUCGGUAUGUAAAGCUCUGUCAGCAGGGAAGUAAGCAAUGACGGUACCUAACAAAGCAGCUCCGGCGAAUGACGUGCCAGCAGACGCGGUAAUACGUAGGGGGCAAGCGUUAUCCGGAAUUACUGGGUGUAAAGGGAGCGUAGACGGCUGUGCAAGUCUGGAGUGAAAGGCGGGGGCCAAAACCCCGGACUGCACUUGAUACUGUAUGGCUGGAGUGCAGGAGAGGUAAGCGGAAGUCCUAUUGUAGCGGUGAAAUGCGUAGAUAUUAGGAGGAACACCAGGUGCGAAGGCAGCUUACUGGACUGUAACUGACGUUGAGGCUCGAAAGCGUGGGGAGCAAACAGGAUUAGAUACCCUUGUAGUC